rnacentral:rRNA from 1 species
CCCUUAGAUGUUCUGGGCUGCACGCGCGCUACACUGAUGCAUUCAACGAGUUUCUUCCUGGUCCGAGAGGAAUGGGUAACCUUUUGAAAGUGCAUCGUGAUAGGGAUAGACUAUUGCAAUUAUUGGUCUUCAACGAGGAAUUCCUAGUAGACGUAGUUCAUCAGACUGCAUCGAUUACGUCCCUGCCCUUUGUACACACCGCCCGUCGCUCCUACCGAUUGAAUGCCCAGGUGAGCCAUUCGGACUUUCAUCAUGCUGGUUUCCAGUUUUGAUGAAGGAAAGUCUUGCGAACCUUAUCAUUUAGAGGAAGGAGAAGUCGUAACA